CCUACGGGAGGCAGCAGUGGGGAAUUUUGGACAAUGGGCGCAAGCCUGAUCCAGCAAUGCCGCGUGAGUGAAGAAGGCCUUCGGGUUGUAAAGCUCUUUUGUCAGGGAAGAAACGGGGGUGGCUAAUAUCUACUCCUAAUGACGGUACCUGAAGAAUAAGCACCGGCUAACUACGUGCCAGCAGCCGCGGUAAUACGUAGGGUGCAAGCGUUAAUCGGAAUUACUGGGCGUAAAGCGUGCGCAGGCGGUUUUGUAGGUUUGUCGUGAAAUCCCCGGGCUCAACCUGGGAAUGGCGAUGAAGACUGCAAGGCUAGAGUUUGGCAGAGGGGGGUAGAAUUCCACGUGUAGCAGUGAAAUGCGUAGAUAUGUGGAGGAACACCGAUGGCGAAGGCAGCCCCCUGGGUCAAAACUGACGCUCAUGCACGAAAGCGUGGGGAGCAAACAGGAUUAGAUACCCUGGUAGUCCACGCCCUAAACGAUGUCUACUAGUUGUCGGGUCUUAAUUGACUUGGUAACGCAGCUAACGCGUGAAGUAGACCGCCUGGGGAGUACGGUCGCAAGAUUAAAACNCAAAUGAAUUGACGGCUGAGACGNGCGAGACGACGACGAGGAGAGG
rnacentral:rRNA from 1 species